AUUGAACGCUGGCGGCAUGCCUUACACAUGCAAGUCGAACGGCAGCACGGGUGCUUGCCCCUGGUGGCGAGUGGCGAACGGGUGAGUAAUACAUCGGAACAUGUCCUGUAGUGGGGGAUAGCCCGGCGAAAGCCGGAUUAAUACCGCAUACGAUCUACGGAUGAAAGCGGGGGACCUUCGGGCCUCGCGCUAUAGGGUUGGCCGAUGGCUGAUUAGCUAGUUGGUGGGGUAAAGGCCUACCAAGGCGACGAUCAGUAGCUGGUCUGAGAGGACGACCAGCCACACUGGGACUGAGAUACGGCCCAGACUCCUACGGGAGGCAGCAGUGGGGAAUUUUGGACAAUGGGCGAAAGCCUGAUCCAGCAAUGCCGCGUGUGUGAAGAAGGCCUUCGGGUUGUAAAGCACUUUUGUCCGGAAAGAAAUCCUUGGCCCUAAUACGGUCGGGGGAUGACGGUACCGGAAGAAUAAGCACCGGCUAACUACGUG
rnacentral:rRNA from 1 species